GGAGCAGCGAAGAAUUAGUUGCGAAACUGAUUGACUGACGGCGGGAGAGAUCCCGCCGUU
rnacentral:ncRNA from 1 species